AGUGUAUACUUAUAGUAAUGUUAUUAGUGAUGUUCAUAAAACUAAGUACAUCCUCGAUUAUUUCCUUCAGGUUCAGCAAUGUUGUUGCAAGGUGGCCUGGGGCGAGUCAUGACUCAAUGAUCCUUAGCAACAGCCUGUUGGGACAGUCGUUCGAGUCCUCUCCUCCAGAUGGAUGGCUUUUGGGAGAUUCAGGAUAUGCAUGCAGGCCCUGGCUCCUAACACCAAUAGGUAAUCCUCAGACAAGGCCAGAAGAAAGAUAUAAUGGAGCCCACAUGAAGACUAGAAACACCAUUGAAAGGGCAUUUGGUGUUCUGAAAUCAAGGUUCAGAUGCUUACACAAGUCAUCAGGGUGCCUUCAAUUUACCCCCACAAAAUGUGC